rnacentral:rRNA from 1 species
CGGGGCUUAAAGUCUUGUAAUUGGAAUGAUGGGAAUUUAAACCUCUUCCAGAGUAUCAAUUGGAGGGCAAGUCUGGUGCCAGCAGCCGCGGUAAUUCCAGCUCCAAUAGCGUAUAUUAAAAUUGUUGCAGUUAAAAAGCUCGUAGUUGAAUUUCUGCUGCAUUGCUUGUGUCCCUCUGGGGUCUGUGCAUGUGGCUUUUUUCGGACGGAGUUUCUUUGUCUGAAUGUUUACUUUGAGAAAAUUAGAGUGCUCAAAGCAGGCUUUCGCCUUGAAUAGUUUAGCAUGGAAUAAUAAAGUAGGACUUUGGUUCUAUUUUGUUGGUUUUAGGUACCAAAGUAAUGGUAAAUAGGAACAGUUGGGGGCAUUCGUAUUUAACUGUCAGAGGUGAAAUUCUUAGAUUUGUUAAAGACGAACUACUGCGAAAGCAUUUGCCAAGGAUGUUUUCAUUAAUCAAGAAC